UACGUAGGGUGCAAGCGUUGUCCGGAAUUAUUGGGCGUAAAGAGCUCGUAGGUGGCCUGUCGCGUCGGCUGUGAAAACUCGGGGCUCAACUCCGAGCUUGCAGUCGAUACGGGCAGGCUUGAGUUCGGUAGGGGACCAUGGAAUUCCUGGUGUAGCGGUGAAAUGCGCAGAUAUCAGGAGGAACACCGAUGGCGAAGGCAGUGGUCUGGGCCGAUACUGACGCUGAGGAGCGAAAGCGUGGGGAGCGAACAGG
rnacentral:rRNA from 1 species